rnacentral:rRNA from 1 species
AUUGAACGCUGGCGGCAUGCUUUACACAUGCAAGUCGAACGGUAACAGGGUGCUUGCACCGCUGACGAGUGGCGAACGGGUGAGUAAUGCGUCGGAACGUGCCGAGGAGUGGGGGAUAAAGCAGCGAAAGUUGUGCUAAUACCGCAUACGUACUGAGGUAGAAAGUGGGGGACCUUCGGGCCUCACGCUAUUCGAGCGGCCGACGUCUGAUUAGCUAGUAGGUGAGGUAAAGGCUCACCUAGGCGACGAUCAGUAGCGGGUCUGAGAGGAUGAUCCGCCAGACUGGGACUGAGACACGGCCCAGACUCCUACGGGAGGCAGCAGUGGGGAAUUUUGGACAAUGGGCGAAAGCCUGAUCCAGCCAUGCCGCGUGUCUGAAGAAGGCCUUCGGGUUGUAAAGGGCUUUUGUCAGGGGAGAAAUCCCUAGUGCUAAUAACACUGGGGGAUGACAGUACCGGAAGAAUAAGCACCGGCUAACUACGUGCCAGCAGCCGCCGUAA